rnacentral:tRNA from 1 species
GGGGGUAUAGUUCAGUGGUAGAACGAAUGCUUGGCAUGCAUGAAGUCCUAAGUUCAAUCCCCAGUGCUUCUA